rnacentral:rRNA from 1 species
GAUGAACGCUAGCGGCAGGCUUAACACAUGCAAGUCGAGGGGCAGCACGGGUAGCAAUACCUGGUGGCGACCGGCGGAAGGGUGCGUAACGCGUGAGCAACAUACCCUAUACAGGGGAAUAAGCCAGGGAAACUUGGUCUAAUGCCCCAUAGCAAUAGAAUAAGGCAUCUUAUUUUAUUUAAAGCUUCGGUGGUAUAGGAUUGGCUCGCGUGACAUUAGCUGGAUGGUGAGGUAACGGCUCACCAUGGCGAUGAUGUCUAGGGGUUCUGAGAGGAAGGCCCCCCACACUGGGACUGAGACACGGCCCAGACUCCUACGGGAGGCAGCAGUGAGGAAUAUUGGACAAUGGAUGGAAAUCUGAUCCAGCCAUGCCGCGUGCAGGAAGACGGCCCUAUGGGUUGUAAACUGCUUUUCUACGUGAGCAAUAAGGUCUACGAGUAGACUGAUGAGAGUAGCGUAGGAAUAAGCAUCGGCUAACUCCGUGCCAGCAGCCGCGGUAAUACGGAGGAUGCGAGCGUUAUCCGGAUUUAUUGGGUUUAAAGGGUGCGUAGGCGGCUUUUUAAGUCAGCGGUGAAAUUUUGCAGCUUAACUGUAACAGUGCCGUUGAUACUGAGGAGCUAGGAUUUGGUUGCUGUGGGUGGAAUGUGUGGUGUAGCGGUGAAAUGCUUAGAGAUCACACAGAAUAUCGAUUGCGAAGGCAGCUCACAAAGCCAAGAUUGACGCUGAGGCACGAAAGUGUGGGGAUCAAACAGGAUUAGAUACCCUGGUAGUCCACACUGUAAACGAUGAUAACUCGCUGUCGGCGAUACACAGUCGGUGGCCAAGCGAAAGCGAUAAGUUAUCCACCUGGGGAGUACGACCGCAAGGUUGAAACUCAAAGGAAUUGACGGGGCCCGCACAAGCGGAGGAACAUGUGGUUUAAUUCGAAGCAACGCGAAGAACCUUACCCG